rnacentral:rRNA from 1 species
UACGGAGGAUGCAAGCGUUAUCCGGAUUUAUUGGGUUUAAAGGGUGCGUAGGCGGAUAUGUAAGUCAGCGGUGAAACUCACAGGCUCAACCUGUGCCGUGCCGUUGAAACUGUGUAUCUGGAAUGCGGAUGCUGUGGGAGGAAUGUGUAGUGUAGCGGUGAAGUGCAUAGAUAUUACACAGAACACCGAUUGCGAAGGCAUCUCACAAAGCCGUUAUUGACGCUGAGGCACGAAAGUGUGGGGAUCAAACA